AUGGGUCUGCAACUAUCAAUACAACUGCAAAAGCAGCUGCCUUGCCCUUUCUGGUCCAUGACAGCAUGGAUUGUGAGCUUCCACGGGGUUUCCGGCUACAGUACAGACCAUGAACAUUGCUUCAGGAAGCAGCACAGACCACGGAUGUCCCCAGGGCCUUUGGUGGUACAUUGGCCCCUGGCCACAGGUGGGCCACAGACACAUGAGCAUUGCCUCCAGCUCCAACACAGCCCAUGGAUCUUCAACAUGGCUUCAGGAGGCAUCACAGGCCAUACAUUUCUUAGUCGGGGUUUCUAUUGCUGGGAUGAAACACCAUAACCAAAAGCAAGUUGGGAAGGAAAGGGUUUCUUCAUCAUAUACGUCCAGAUCAUAGUCCAUCAUUGGAGAAGUCAGGGCAGGAACCCAAGCAGGACAGAAUCCUGGAGGCAGGGGCUGAAACAGAAGCCAUGGGUGUGGGGGGGUGCUGUUUACUGGCUUGCUCCCCAUGGCUUGCUCAGCCUGCUUUCUCAUAGAACCCAGGACCAGCAGCCCAGGAAUGGCACCACCUACAAUGGUCUGAUCUCUCCCCUGUUGGUCACUAAUUGAUAAAAUGCCUUACAGUUGGAUCCCAUGGAAUCAUUUCCUUCCUCUCUGAUGACUCUAGCUUGUGUCAAGUUGACACGAAAGACCAGCCAACAUACAACAUAUAUCCACAUGGCCUUUGGUGUUAACAUGGAGCACAGACCUCAACAUGGCCUCUGACAAGAGCACAGACAGAGCACGGAUAUCCACACUGGCUCUAGUUGCAGCACAGACUGUGGACAUCAACAUAGCCCCCAGCAG
rnacentral:lncRNA from 1 species